rnacentral:tRNA from 1 species
CAGGCUAUUCUCGGUAGUUGGGGAUUUCAUUUACAUUGAAUUAUUGUUGUCGUGCAAUUCGGCAUUGUCUGA